rnacentral:rRNA from 1 species
UACGUAGGUGGCAAGCGUUGUCCGGAUUUAUUGGGUUUAAAGGGUGCGUAGGCGGUCCUGUAAGUCAGUGCUGAAAUAUCCCGGCUUAACCGGGAGGGUGGCAUUGAUACUGCGGGGCUAGAGUACAGAUGAGGUAGGCGGAAUUGACGGUGUAGCGGUGAAAUGCUUAGAUAUCGUCAAGAACACCUAUAGCGAAGGCAGCUUACUAGGCUGUAACUGACGCUGAGGCACGAAAGUGUGGGGAUCAAACAGG